GCCGCGUUCGUCUAGUGGUUCAGGACGCUGGCCUCUCACGCCGGUAACACGGGUUCGAAUCCCGUACGCGGUA
rnacentral:tRNA from 1 species